rnacentral:rRNA from 1 species
GGAGGAUCCAAGCGUUAUCCGGAAUCAUUGGGUUUAAAGGGUCCGUAGGCGGUUUAGUAAGUCAGUGGUGAAAGCCCAUCGCUCAACGGUGGAACGGCCAUUGAUACCGCUAGACUUGAAUUAUUAGGAAGUAACUAGAAUAUGUAGUGUAGCGGUGAAAUGCUUAGAGAUUACAUGGAAUACCAAUUGCGAAGGCGGGUUACUACUAAUUGAUUGACGCUGAUGGACGAAGGCGUGGGUAGCGAACAGGAUUAGAUACCCUGGUAGUCCACGCCGUAAACGAUGGAUACUAGCUGUUGGGGGCAACUUCAGUGGCUAAGCGAAAGUGAUAAGUAUCCCACCUGGGGAGUACGAACGCAAGUUUG